rnacentral:rRNA from 1 species
AUUGAACGCUGGCGGCAGGCCUAACACAUGCAAGUCGAACGGUAACAGGAAGAAGCUUGCUUCUUUGCUGACGAGUGGCGGACGGGUGAGUCAUGUCUGGGAAACUGCCUGAUGGAGGGGGAUAACUACUGGAAACGGUAGCUAAUACCGCAUAACGUCGCCAGAUCAAAGAGGGGGACCUUCGGGCCUCUUGCCAUCGGGUGUGCCCAGAUGGGAUUAGCUAGUAGGUGGGGUAACGGCUCACCUAGGCGACGAUCCCUAGCUGGUCUGAGAGGAUGACCAGCCACACUGGAACUGAGACACGGUCCAGACGCCUACGGGAGGCAGCAGUGGGGAAUAUUGCACAAGGGGCGCAAGCCUGAUGCAGCCAUGCCGCGUGUAUGAAGAAGGCCUUCGGGUUGUAAAGUACUUUCAGCGGGGAGGAAGGGAGUAAAGUUAAUACCUUUGCUCAUUGACGUUACCCGCAGAAGAAGCACCGGCUAACUCCGUG